ACGGAGGGGGCUAGCGUUGUUCGGAAUUACUGGGCGUAAAGCGCACGUAGGCGGCUUGUUAAGUCAGGGGUGAAAUCCUGGAGCUCAACUCCAGAACUGCCUUUGAUACUGGCGAGCUUGAGUUCGGGAGAGGUGAGUGGAACUGCGAGUGUAGAGGUGAAAUUCGUAGAUAUUCGCAAGAACACCAGUGGCGAAGGCAGCUCACUGGCCCGAUACUGACGCUGAGGUGCGAAAGCGUGGGGAGCAAACAGGA
rnacentral:rRNA from 1 species